rnacentral:rRNA from 1 species
GUCUACGGCCAUGCCACCCUGAACGUGCCCAAUCUCAUCUGAUCUCAGAAGCUAAGCUGGGUCGGGCCUGGUUAGUAUUUGGAUGGGAGACCACCUAGGAAUAGUAGGUGUUGUAGGCA